GGGCACUGUGGAUGUUACUGUUAUGGAGGCACUGUGGUUGUCACUGUUAUGGGGGUACUGUGGAGGUCACUGUAAUGGGGGCAAUGUGGAUGUCACUGUAAUGGGGGCACUGUGGAUGUCACUGUUAUGGGGGCACUGUGGAUGUCACUGUUAUGGGGGCAAUGUGGAUGUCACUG